rnacentral:rRNA from 1 species
UGAGGAAUAUUGGUCAAUGGGCGAGAGCCUGAACCAGCCAUCCCGCGUGCAGGAUGACGGCCCUAUGGGUUGUAAACUGCUUUUCUGCUCCAAGAAACCUGAUUACGCGUAAUCAGUUGACGGUAGAGUAGGAAUAAGCAUCGGCUAACUCCGUGCCAGCAGCCGCGGUAAUACGGAGGAUGCAAGCGUUAUCCGGAUUCAUUGGGUUUAAAGGGUGCGCAGGUUGGAAUGUAAGUCAGUGGUGAAAUACUGCCGCUUAACGGUAGAACUGCCAUUGAUACUGCGUUUCUUGAGUAUGGUUGAGGUAGGUGGAAUGUGUUGUGUAGCGGUGAAAUGCAUAGAUAUGACACAGAACGCCAAUUGCGAAGGCAGCUUACUAAGCCAUUACUGACGCUGAGGCACGAAAGCGUGGGGAUCGAACAGG